UACGAAGGGGGCCAGCGUUGUUCGGAAUCACUGGGCGUAAAGGGCGCGUAGGCGGCCGAUCAAGUCGGGGGUGAAAGCCUGUGGCUCAACCACAGAAUUGCCUUCGAUACUGUUUGGCUUGAGACCGGAAGAGGUAAGUGGAACUGCGAGUGUAGAGGUGAAAUUCGUAGAUAUUCGCAAGAACACCAGUGGCGAAGGCGGCUUACUGGUCCGGUUCUGACGCUGAGGCGCGAAAGCGUGGGGAGCAAACAGG
rnacentral:rRNA from 1 species